rnacentral:rRNA from 1 species
GUGGGGAAUAUUGGACAAUGGGCGAAAGCCUGAUCCAGCAAUGCCGCGUGAGUGAUGAAGGCCCUAGGGUUGUAAAGCUCUUUCAGUGGGGACGAUAAUGACGGUACCCACAGAAGAAGCCCCGGCUAACUUCGUGCCAGCAGCCGCGGUAAUACGAAGGGGGCUAGCGUUGUUCGGAUUUACUGGGCGUAAAGCGCACGUAGGCGGAUCGUUAAGUCGAGGGUGAAAUCCUGGAGCUCAACUCCAGAACUGCCUUCGAUACUGGCGAUCUUGAGUCCGGAAGAGGUGAGUGGAACUCCUAGUGUAGAGGUGGAAUUCGUAGAUAUUAGGAAGAACACCAGUGGCGAAGGCGGCUCACUGGUCCGGUACUGACGCUGAGGUGCGAAAGCGUGGGGAGCAAACAGGAUUAGAAACCCUAGUAGUCC